GGGGAUACAGCUCAAUUGGUAGAGUGCUUGCCUUGCAUGCACACUGCCCUGGGUUUGAUCCCCAGCACCACCA
rnacentral:tRNA from 1 species